CGCUUCUCUCUCUUCUCCCCACCCGAUUCUUAGGUAUUAGGGUUUUGCCUUAGCCUUCGCCCCAUCUCCCAGGUUCGAGAUUCUCUCUCCCUCUCUCUUCCCCCCAUCUGUUCCCAUUGUUCGACUUGAUUUACUAGAUGAAGUUUGUGUUUGUUCGCUGCAUUGUUCGAUUGUUUCAUAUCCUUAUAUGUGUUCUGAUUCGUAGGAUGAUUUGUUCUUUUAAAUUUCCUUAAUGAUUUCAUUUUCUAAUGUUCUGUGACGAUUCUUUAUGAUGAUGUUAGCAAGGAGAGGGACAAAGUUGAUUUUUUUUUUAGCAUGAUUUUUUCGGAAGUUGGUCACGGAUGAUUAAACUAGUUUGGAAGUUAAAACCAUUCAACAAAUUAUAUAAACCUGAGGUCUUGUAUAGCUAUAGAUUCAUUGUUGCGAUUUUUUUUUUUUUAAUGUGUGUUUAAUUUGCUAAUUUGGAUUUUUUGAAAGUUAUGUUUAACUGUUCUGGAGUUGCAGUGGAGGCCAAGGCGCCCUCGGAUAUCAUUAAUACUAAUGUCCUUGAAAACUGUGCAAUAAUCACUGUUGUCGAUGUUUUUGUCUCCGUUGUUUUAAUCACAUAGCGAAGCGGGAUGUCUC
rnacentral:lncRNA from 1 species